rnacentral:rRNA from 1 species
UGGGGAAUAUUGCACAAUGGGCGCAAGCCUGAUGCAGCCAUGCCGCGUGUGUGAAGAAGGCCUUCGGGUUGUAAAGCACUUUCAGCGGGGAGGAAGGCGUUAAGGUUAAUAACCUUGGCGAUUGACGUUACCCGCAGAAGAAGCACCGGCUAACUCCGUGCCAGCAGCCGCGGUAAUACGGAGGGUGCAAGCGUUAAUCGGAAUUACUGGGCGUAAAGCGCACGCAGGCGGUCUGUCAAGUAGGAUGUGAAAUCCCCGGGCUCAACCUGGGAACUGCAUUCGAAACUGGCAGGAGAGAGUCGUGUAGAGGGGGGUAGAAGUCCAGGUGUAGCGGUGAAAUGCGUAGAGAUCUGGAGGAAGACCGGUGGCGAAGGCGGCCCCCUGGACAAAGACUGACGAUCAGGUGCGAAAGAGUGGGGAGCAAACAGG